CUUAUAAGGGUGUUUUCAUUGGCC
rnacentral:siRNA from 1 species